rnacentral:piRNA from 1 species
UGCUACUUGUCUCUUUUUCUG